CUGCCCCUUCCUCAGACUACAGAUGGGGACUUUAAAUAGAAAAUUGUCUCAGACAGAUUGUGCACCGGGGAAACCCUUUUAUGACCCAGAAUAUACUCUCCGCACAGUAUCCGUUUCAUUGUCAGGGGCACAGACUUCCUGAGCUCCACCCCCUCUCCCUGGCCUCCGGCUGCCUGACGUCAGCAGCAUUUCCUUGCAUGCCUGGGAUGCUUGACAUCGUUGGGGCUUAGCUGGGAAACAGAGAGGAUUUGGGGAAACAAGGGACAAGAAUGUAGCCGUGAGCCAUUCCCGGGCAGGUGGCCUCAUGAUGCACGACAGAGUUGCACACACACCUGGCUGGAGAGAGGAGCGAGGCUGGUGAACCGGUGACUGCGUAGAGCAGCAGUGAUGGCGCGCACCCAAGGCCUGGGAAGUUCCUGCCUUGCUUGUAGCAUCAGACCCUGGCAGUCACACAGCUUCAUCUCUUUGGUCAAAUCUGCCACCUCCUAGAUAUCUAUUGUCAUGCUGCCCUUAACUCACCUCCCAGAAAAGAUGCCCUGGAGCCCCAGUCCCCUGCCUCCACCUUGCUGCCCCCAAGAAGGGAAGAGCGAGCAGCAGGUCGAGCCCGACAGUGAAAAGGAGCAGCAUGCUGAAACAGCCUUGUACUCUCACGCUGUCAUCAGUAACUAAGAGACAUGUGGGAAGCCUGCAGCACUUUUGUUAGUGGAUAGCUCCUGGUUUCUGUCCCAAACUCACUUUCUUCAGAGCAUGUGUUGAGGUUGUGAAGUCACCACUCCCAUAAAUCAACAGAAGCCAAACACAUUAAUCCAGAAGCAGAAGGUCUUCAGCUAGAUGGGCAAUUUUUGUCUUAGAAGAUUGGUCCAAGGGUUGAAAUGCUGCCAGCCUGGAUAAUAAACAUCACUU